CAUACAAACCAGGUGUAAUCGGCGCAUUAGGACAGCCAGAAGAACAGAGACGGCUCCACUUUUCAACAGGUUUAUUGACAUGUGUAUAGAGAUUGUCUGUGCACCGGACGAUUACAGAAUAUGAUAUAAAAUAAUACAAAAUGACUGUACACAACGUAGAUGUAUUAAAAAGGAAUGCAUUAUUGACUGUGAGGUUUUGCGCUGUAUACGCGUCAGCUAUUCACCCACCCAGAGAAAGAUGAGUUAACUAGUUGAGGAGGUUGAGGUUUUGCCAUCUGGAGUGAAGCUCAAUUGAAACAUUUAAAGAAAAAAAAGUCAAAGAACAAAGCUAAAAAGACUGCUAAUGUUACUAGUGGUUUUAAAAACAACCCAAAAUACUGUAUCUGAAAAAUUCACCAAUAUUUAAAUCUAAAAAACAAGGGAGAGAAACUUGCAUAUGGACACCUGUAACCCGAAGAGGGUUGAAACAAAGCAAAAAGAGAAUAAAUAUGUCAGCUCGUAAACUAGAAGCCAUUGAGGGUGCUGCAGCCGUUCGUCCGUCCACAUGCCGAGCAGUGUGACGCUAAUUGUUCUAUGUCUUUUUAUUUGUCCUCCAGAAGCAGGUCGGACUGGAUUUGGCGUGCGGCUGAUCCAGAUGUUCUCACAGCCCGCUUGUGCCCCUUUAACUAAGUGCGGCUGAGCUGAGGCCACCCGACCGUCCGCGCUCCUUUAACAUUUGGCAUUUACAUCGGACGAGGCUCCCACGCAAACGUUUGUGUGUGUCUGCGGUUGUGAAGCGUUUUUUGAGUGUCUUCUAUGAGUCUGCAGCUGUGAAGCCUACAUCUGUAAUCCUGAGCCACGGUAAUUAUCAACACCACAGCGUGGGACUGGACGCAUCUAUCAAGUAUGAGGAUAAUUGUGUUUUACACGUAUGUUUGUUCUCUUUCUUUUUAGAGAGGUCUUCUAAAACUAAAAACAAAAACAGAACUGAAACGCCGCCGUUUCAGCGGCUGAGGGCUCGGAAGACGUCUUGGUCUGCGGCUCAACGCCCUCGGCGUGCAAAGUCUUUGAGUACGUGUACGAGUAGUGAACGUACCGGGUGUGUACGUUCAGCACAUGCAAGCUAGACACUGUUCCCAUGUGAGAUACCAAUUACACGUCUUCCACACUCGAGGCUACUAUUGAAACACCAUAAUAUUCAGUUACAAAAAUAGUAUCACAAUAUAGACCAUUCAAUAUGAGCACCGGGGAGGCUAAAUAUAGCCCGAGUAUUUGGCUACAUUCAUUGUCUGGGCAAUGUUUCACCGUAGCGGUGUGGUAAGUGUGUGUUUGUCGGACACAGUGUUCUGUCACUCACACGCCGUCCUACAUCGACCACGCCAAGAAUUCACAAACAUACGGAACUUGCUUACACUGAGUAACGGUCAACUACAACCGAUUAUCAGUUAGAAAAAUAGUUGUUGUUUUUUUAACACUGAACAUCUAAAGGAAAUCCUCCCGCUUCCCCAAAUAAAUCCCUCCCGCCCCCCUUUCCUAACAAAAUAGUUUUCUUUGAAACAACAACAAAAAGUUUAUCUUGUGAGGUUAUGCGACGUCAUUCUAACACGGACCCCGUUGAGCAUAAUUCAGCAACCAGAAGUGUGUCUGAGUAACAGCAGCGAUGCGAUUGGCUGAUGUGUUCUUCGGCAGCGCGAGCGUGUUCAGGUUAUUAAUGCGACUGAAAAGAGUAUUUAAAUGUCGGGGGGUUUCAUCGCCGAUUCAGCUGCUCAUCUUUUAAUUCUAGUGCUUUGGUUACAUGUCACACACACACACACACACACACACACAUCUGGAAAUAAAACAAAUGGUGACACUGAACAGGCCUCUGGUUGAGCCCUUAACCUGGAAACCAUUUGAGCCGAUGUAGCAACGUCGAGCUUAUCUGUGGAACUGCUAUUAUUGCUGCAGAGAGUUAUGAAGUGGAUCUCAUUCCGGGUUUUCGUGCCCCGGCCGGCGUUUAUCCUCCGGCCGCUUGAUGCUCAGGGUAAGAUUGGGCCUUUAGGGGGGGGAGGGAGGGGGGGUCUGUUUGACACAGCGCUCUCUCUACAUCACCAAGAGUCUGCAGGGUUUUUAUUCCAACCUUCGUACGACACAAGGGGCUGCGUGUGGGAACCCCUGAAUUCAGUGUGGACGCGCCACCAGCCGGGGCGCUCCGGGAGCGUCUUUAGAAACGCCCAGUGUGAAAAGUGACGGUGUUUUUGUUGUUGGUUG
ensembl:lncRNA